AUACGGAGGGGGUUAGCGUUGUGCGGAAUUACUGGGCGUAAAGCGCACGUAGGCGGACUGGAAAGUUGGGUGUGAAAUCCCGGGGCUCAACCCCGGAACUGCCUCCAAAACUUCCAAUCUAGAGAUCGAGAGUGGUGAGUGGAAUUCCAAGUGUAGAGGUGAAAUUCGUAGAUAUUUGGAGGAACACCAGUGGCGAAGGCGGCUCACUGGCUCGAUACUGACGCUGAGGUGCGAAAGCGUGGGGAGCAAACAGGACUAGAAACCCCAGUAGUCC
rnacentral:rRNA from 1 species